CCGAGGAGGAACGCAACGGGCUUUGCCCGUUUCGGAAUGCGUUCCUCCGACGUGCCCCAGAGCGAACGCGAAAGGGUGAUACCCGCG
rnacentral:sRNA from 12 species